CAUGUCUUUUUGAUUAUAAUUUAAAGUCUGGCCUGCUCAAUGAGAUUUUAAAUAGCCGUAGUAUUUUGACUAUGCAAAGGUAGCAUAAUAAUUAGUUUCUUAAUUAGGAACUGGAAUGAAAGGUUGGACGAAAAAUUUACUGUCUCAAUUUAAAUUUAGUUAAAAUUUUAUUUUUAAGUUAAAAAGCUUAAAUUUCUUUAAAAGACGAGAAGACCCUAUAGAGUUUUAUAUAAAUUUUUUGUAUUGAAAAUUAAAGAAUUUUAUUUUAUUUAUUUAAAAUUGUAUUUAGUUGGGGUGAUUGAAAAAUUAAAUAAACUUUUUUUAAAUUAGUUAACAUUAAUUUAUGGUUAAUUGAUCCAUUAUUUAUGAUUAUAAGAUUAAAUUACCUUAGGGAUAACAGCGUUAUUUUUUUUAGAGUUCUUAUCGAAUAAAAAGUUUGCGACC
rnacentral:rRNA from 1 species